rnacentral:rRNA from 1 species
CCUACGGGAGGCAGCAGUAGGGAAUCUUCCACAAUGGGCGCAAGCCUGAUGGAGCAACACCGCGUGAGUGAAGAAGGGUUUCGGCUCGUAAAGCUCUGUUGUUGGAGAAGAACGUGCGUGAGAGUAACUGUUCACGCAGUGACGGUAUCCAACCAGAAAGUCACGGCUAACUACGUGCCAGCAGCCGCGGUAAUACGUAGGUGGCAAGCGUUAUCCGGAGUUAUUGGGCGUAAAGCGAGCGCAGGCGGUUGCUUAGGUCUGAUGUGAAAGCCUUCGGCUUAACCGAAGAAGUGCAUCGGAAACCGGGCAACUUGAGUGCAGAAGAGGACAGUGGAACUCCAGGUGUAGCGGUGGAAUGCGUAGAGAUAUGGAAGAACACCAGUGGCGAAGGCGGCUGUCUGGUCUGCAACUGACGCUGAGGCUCGAAAGCAUGGGUAGCAAACAGGAUUAGAUACCCCAGUAGUC